rnacentral:sRNA from 1 species
AGGUAUGGAUGAAAGAGGAGGUACAACAUCUUGGGGAACAAGUGGUCAACCAAGUCCUUCCUAUGAUUCAUCUAGAGGUUUUACAGACAGCCCUCAUUACAGUGAUCACUUGAAUGACACUCGAUUAGGAGCCCAUGAAGGCUUGUCCCCAACACCUUUCAUGAACUCAAAUCUGAUGGGUAAGUUGGUAAUUCUCUGCAAGUAGUCUUCUCAAAGCUUCUUUGGUCAGAGACAUUUUUUAUCCCUUUGUCCGGGAGGGACAGGUAAGUAUCUAGAAAAAAGUUCUUGAGUUUCUAGGGGCAUCUAGGGCU